AUAAUGGUUGCCUAAGUUUGGUGCCGUUUCUGCUCCGUCAUGGUGACUCUAAGUGCGAUCCUGCAGGCUCCGGUCCAGGCGCUGUUGAGACCCUCCAUGUGGCUGCCUUUUGUUCGUCCCCUUCACAGUUACAAAGAAACAUGGGAAAUAGACUGCCCGAAGUCCGAAUUUGUUUCGUCACUCCUGUCGGCGGUGCACUCUGUCAUGGAACAGGAAGACAACACAGAAUUCUGGGAUAUCCACAAGGUGGUUGAAGACGGGACGUUUGUGCGAAUAUUCGCAUUUACUCGUGCAGAAUGGCUCGACGUGAUCGAGAUAACUUAUAGAGACGGACAAUAUGAGGCGCAUUCGUUUUCAUCAGGCGUCAUUCCUCUAGUUGUCCCAUUCGCGUGCAUUUGUAAUUUGGUAUUAUUUUGUGCGCCGUUUCUGGACAUGGGAUUAAACAAAAAGCGCUUACAACGUAUAAGAGAAGCAAUGUCGGUUAGUGUCACAGUGGUUUAAUUACUUUAAGCUGCAAGACUAAAAUGCCUCUCAAAGUGAAAAAAAAAACGACUCCAUUUAGUGUUAACCGUAUGUUUUAAAUAAAUCACAUUCCAGACAUUAUCAAAAUCUGUUUAAAGUGUAUGAAGAGUUUGUGCUGACUUACAAAUUUAGAGUUGUAUUUGAAAAAAAAUGAGGAAACAAUCAUAAAAAAUAAGCAAAUACGUGUAUGCGCUAUGGUAUGAUACAGUACAGCCUCUGUAAACAACAGCUCAGAAGAACAAGUAGUUCCGUGUACAGCCAAUUAUAUUCUUCCACACAAGACCAGUUUCUAAUUAAAUCAUAACCCUUUCAGAGAAAAAGCCUCUAACCAGCAAAAAAAGUACCACCCGCUUGCGAUGUUGCUCAAACAGACUGCACUUGCAAGGAACUAUUAUAUAGCAGAACAUGUCUCCCAACACUUCUGGGUAACGAGUAACUGAACUGUGUGUUAGACGUGAAAGUCGUGAAAGUUUAUGGUUACAUGUUUCACCGGUAAAAGUCGCAGUUAAGAUAGAUAUAUUCUCAAGAAAAGAAUAGUCUUACACAAUGUUUUUAUAAAUAAUUUAAUGUAUUUAUAUAGUAAUGGUAAAACAGCUUAUAUCAUAUGACUUACAGAUAUAUACAUCAAAAACUCAUGUGAUAUAAAUAAUAUAUACAUGUAUAUUGUAAUUUAAUGAGCACAUGAACACAAUUCACAAAGUUUUAUUUCAUAUUUUUAUGGUUAAAAAGGAAAAAACUUCUGACAGGCGGAAUAUAACCAAUAAUUAAUAUGUUCUGGGCAGAAUGAAUACGGGCCGUUCUAGAAUUGUCUGCGCAUUUAAUACGGAAUAAUAAUAAUAUGUAUAAAGAUUAACACAUUACAACAUAUGUCUGUGCAAAUUUGAAUCAACACUUUCUUUAUCUUCACAGUUAAGAUAUGCUCUAGACUUGCAUCAACUAUUACUUUAUCUUCAUCAUAAAAUACUUAUGACUUGAAUCAACUACGUAUUAUAUCUUCGUCACUAGUAAAAGCUUUACUAUAGGCUUGAAUCAACUUCUACCUUAUACUCGUUCUUAAAGAUUUGCUAGAGACGAAUCAGGUGUUUAUUUUUCUUCAUCUUAAAGAUUUACAACAGAGCUGAAUCGAUGACUACCGUUUCUUCGUCUAACAGAUUUACUGCAAUUCCAACCAACGACUUCUUAGCUGUGUCAUAAACUAAAAGAUUUACUACAGAAUCAGAUCAACGAGGUCCCUGUAUAUAAGAUUGGCGAAUUUUUUCAAAUAAUAGAAUUUCUUCAAACUUUGGAUAUUGAAGAACAAUCAUCUAAGAAACAAAAAUAUGCAGUAAAACAUAGGUCACCAGUAUUGAAAAAGAGUUAUCUGCCCUUGAAAACAGCAUUUCCCUAAAAAUUAUAUAUAAUGUAUAUAUAUUUAGCAUUUAAGACCGAGUAAAACAUUUAAUUUUCUCUUGAAGAUAGUCUUACUAUCAAGCCAUUGAUAAAUAUUUCAUCCCCCAUCAUAACUGAAUAAUUGCUGGAAGAUUCUAUCUCGGUGCAAAAACGUUGACAAAUACAAUCAGCAUGUAUGGUGCAUGGCAUCAGAAAGAUCUUUAAGUCUAAUAAAAUAAAUUCAGAUCCACUAUUUAAGCAUUGCUAUUUGUAUCAUAUCACACAUCAUAUAUAAAACACACAA
rnacentral:misc_RNA from 1 species